rnacentral:rRNA from 1 species
UACGUAGGGCGCAAGCGUUAUCCGGAAUUAUUGGGCGUAAAGAGCUCGUAGGCGGUUUUGUCGCGUCUGCUGUGAAAACGCGAGGCUCAACCUCGCGCCUGCAGUGGGUACGGGCAGACUAGAGUGCGGUAGGGGGAGAUUGGAAUUCCUGGUGUAGCGGUGAAAUGCGCAGAUAUCAGGAGGAACACCGGUGGCGAAGGCGGAUCUCUGGGCCAUUUACUGACGCUGAGGAGCGAAAAGCGUGGGGGAGCGAACAGG